GGUGGGCUGCAUAUGUGGUCGUUGGCCUGUUCGGCGACGCCGUCUGCCUCUUUUUUCCUUUUUGGUUUGGAUUUAGCCUGGUUUUGGGUGGAUUUCCGGUGGAUUCUUGCGUUCCUUCUGCACUUCGACGCGGCACCACUGCACUAUUGGACUAUACGGCAAGCUGACGUCGUCUGGUGGAGCUUCGUACGGGAACUAUUGCUGCUUACGUAUAGUGCCACAACGUUGGAGGAAUGCACAAAAAGCCCGGAACGAGCAUUUAUAUAGAGUGAAAUAAACAUUUCCUCAUUUCA